rnacentral:rRNA from 1 species
AUUGAACGCUGGCGGCAUGCCUAACACAUGCAAGUCGAGCGGAUGAAGGGGGCUUUCUCCUGGAUUCAGCGGCGGACGGGUGAGUAAUGCCUAGGAAUCUGCCUGGUAGUGGGGGAUAACGUCCGUAAACGGGCGCUAAUACCGCAUACGUCCUUAGUGAGAAAGUGGGGGAUCUUCGGACCUCACGCUAUCAGAUGAGCCUACGCUGCAUUAGCUAGUUGGUAGGGUAAAGGCUUACCAAGGCGACUAUCCAUAGCUGGUCUGAGAGGGUGAUCAGUCACACUGGAACGGAGACACGGUCCAGACUCCAACGGGAGGCAGCAGGAGGGAAUCUUCCGCAAUGGGCGAAAGCCUGACGGAGCAACGCCGCGUGAGGGAUGAAGGUCUUCGGAUCGUAAAACUCUGUUAGUAGGGAAGAACAGAUGUGUAAGUAACUGUGCACAUCUUGACGGUACCUAAUCAGAAAGCCACGGCUAACUACGUG